AUGAUCCCAACCCACCCAGCUGUGAAAUUGAGUUCAUUACCUACUUCUUCACUGCUCCCUUUACUAGUUCUCUCAUCAUUCCUGAAGCAGAACUUGUUUGUGGUGGAAAGACGAAAAGAAAAGCAAAGACCCAGUACCAGAAGGAACCAUUGUCUAAUGAGAGUUUUCAUCGACUCAGCACUAUCUAUAUGUCAGUCCUCCACAUGUGAAGUCCCAGUGAAUCUUCAACAAUCCUUAGAGGUGAUCCAGAGUCACAACUAUCUCUUCUCUCAUCCCUUCGACCAAACUUUCCUGAGCAACUCUGAUGCCAGGCGUUUCUAGCACUGUGAUAGAACCUGGGUGGAGGACAGAGGACCCUGCUUCAAAGGUAACCACCUGCCUCCUUCUGCUAUCACAGAGCUGACCUCUGUGCAGCAGAGAGCAGAGCUUGGAGGCCACUGCUGAGAAUCUGCACUCUAAAGACAUCUACCUAAAGCACGAGCUUUAUUUCUGGGCACUCAGCCAGACCUCCUGACCACAUCCUGGACUGAGGAUUUUGGAUGGUGGAACGGGGGUGGAAGUGAACAUUAAAUGAGCAACAUGCUAAUUCCAUGCAAAUGAAUAUCUAUUUUGAAUCAACAGCUUGGGCACUUUUUCUAGGAGGGCUGAGGCAGCAGGAAUCUAAAGAGAGGAUGGGAGGGGGAGGGGUUUCUCUCAGAGGUGGCGGAGAGUGCAAGGGGGGAUCUGGGCUGAGCAGAGCCACCUCCUGCUCACAGUUCCUAAUGCUAUUUGAUUGGCUCAUUAGCAAGUAUGAAACAUGGGGAGUCAAAAAAAAAAGAACAAAGAAAAAAAACCCAACUCUGGAAUAAAUAAACUAACAGAUGGAGACUUAAUUCAAUUUGCAUCCAACCUACCCUAGCACCAAGGACUUUGUUUGCCUAACAAUGGAGACCCCGGGUGUGGGGAGGGGUCCCUCUUGCAGGGGGGCUGAUGGGGAUGAUCCCAGAUCAUCUCUUCCAUGCUGCUCUUAUCUUUUCAAGGGGACCAGAUGGGUAUUCUUGUUUUAAAGCUCCUCUCCCUUGGGCUGGUCCUGAAUUCAUUCUCUGAUCCAGAAAGAAAGGUUCUUGGGUAGAAAUGAGGCUAGCAUUGUGGAAAGGAUGGGGUGGGAAACUGUGGGUAGCAGCGGCAAAUGGGAAAUAAAAUCCAUUCAGGAGCCAAGAGACAAGGUCAGGGAGACCCCUGCCCCCACAUCUCAGCCCUCCCCCAAGCCCCACACCCAGAGUGAAUCAGAAGGCCAGGUGGCUGGGAAGGAAGCUGAGACUCAAUCUAGGUCUGCCUGACUCCAAAGCCUGCAUCCAUUUCACUGUAUAUCCUAUUCCCAAGACCUGGAUCCAAGCCUUGCUCUGCCACUAACCAGCUGUUUUGAUUGUCAUUCGGUGACCUGAAGUCUCUGAACAUUAAGAGCCCUCAUCUGAUGAAGAAAUAUGUGGGGGGAAACAAAUGGAAGAGAAGGAUUAUUUCAGUAAGUUUGUUUGUACAGAUUCAUUUCAGCAUUGACUUCUAGUCUCUGAUGGUGAGAAUAUUCUCUAUCUGAUGUAGGAGCCAAGAGUGUGGGCCCUCUGAAGGGUUCCUGAAAAAUCAACUCACAAAAGGCAAAUUAAUUGGGGAAAAAAUACAAAUCUUCUUAACAUGUACACAUGGGGGCCUGCAGAAUGAAGAUCCAAAGAUACAGGGGAAUUGUCCUUUUUUUUUUUGAGAUGGAGUCUCGCUCUGUUGCCCAGGGUAAAGUUCAGUGAUCUCUGCUGACUGCAACCUCCACCUCAUGGGUUCAAGCAAUUCUCUGAAUCAGCCUCCUGAGUAGCUGGAUCACAGGUGCCCACCACCACCCCCAACUAUUUUUUGUAUUUUUAGUAGAGAUAGGGUUUCACCAUCUUGGCCAGGCUGGUUUUGAACUUCUGACCUCGUGAUCCACCCACCUCAUGCUCCCAAAGUGCUGGGAUUACAGGCAUGAGCCACCACGCAUAGCCAAAUUGUCCACUUUUAUGUUUAGGUUCAACAAAGUAUGGACAGCCAUGUAGAAAUAUGAUUGGAUAAGAAAGGGUCUGAUCUAAUGCUAACAGAUUGAAUAUGGAAAUCCAGCAAGGCCUGUCUCUCUAUAUUCUUCUUGGCAUCUCUGAGCAUGCAUUCCCUCCUUCUGGGUGUAGGACAGGGCACUCUCUGGAGUAAGAAUCUUAUGACCUACGGUUUAGAUUGGAUAAUUUCUUCAUGGCCAGUUUUUACAUAGAAAGGUAGAGGAAAAUUAGAUUAAUAUUUUUAAGGUUUAUUGCUGGCUUUGGGGAAAAGGAGUUCUGGUUUCUGAGAUGCCCCUCAGGGAAGAGGGAUUCUAGUUUUUAUGGCUGGCUUCAGGGGAGAAUGGGACUGAGAGAGAGGAGGGCAAGAGAAGGUUGGAGAAACACUUUUGCUUCCGAGGCCUUCAUUUGCAGUUUUGUUUUCUGAGCCCCAACAUUGGUACAAGGAGGGCAUUUUUCUCAUAGAAAAUCUUAUGACCUGUUUUUAGGUAGAAAGGGAAGGUCAGAGAGCCCUUCCUGCAUCUGCUGUUCCUCAAGUGCCUUCAGCUCAAAAUAACUUAUAUGCCAAAGAGGCAUAUUUUGGGGCGGCAUGUUCUGAAACCCCUCCUGUGCUUCACCUAGGGACAAAAAGGAGAGCCCCUGGCUUUGGCAGAAUAAGUGGGAAGGGGCCUUGUUUUUGAAGGUCCAGGACUUGCCUCAAUAGUGAGGGUGGCUACUGCCAUAUUAGAUUUUGACCUAUCAAUUUCCUACCUGGGGUUUUUUAUGGAAGGCAGGAUGGUUCUACUGGCUGUUCUUUUUCUCCCUGUCCUGUAUAUAAAGCAAGGAACAGGCAUGAGACCUUUCUGCCUCAGCAAUAUUUGACCCUGAUUCAAAGAGCUUGGUACUGGGGACCUCAUUUCUCCUAAAAGUCAGAAUCCUCCACUCAACCUCAGUGAAGGCCCAGGUACUAUUGAAAGUAUCUGCAGGAACAGAUCACUGUUUCCUUUGCCAGAGGUGUGAGAAGUACGAAGCACAAGGGAGGUCAUGAGGGAGGAAGUCAGAUCUGGGAAUUCAGGUCUAUCUGCCAAAUAACUGCUCAAUUAGUGUUGCUCAAGUUGAAAGGCUGCCCUGUUGGACAACUUUUUUUGUCAUCUCUUUUCAGUAGAAAGAAAAUGAAUAUUGAUCCUGUUCUUGGCUCCAUGCUCGACCCCUUCAAAUGAAUAUGAUUGGGUUUUCCCAAUGUAGUGGGUGACAUUCAGACAUUUAGGGGCAAUUUCACCUUCUCAGAACUCAGCUCUUGAAGCACGGCCUAACUGAAGUGAGUCUGAGAGGAUCCCGGGGUCACUACAGGUUAGAAAAGGCCAGCUUCAGGUCUCAGAUGGUGUCAGACUGGUUUUCUGCAUCCUGGAGGGGCAGGCUUUGAACCUGAGUCACCUUACAACUGGCUCAAAAAUUAAGUUUGCAGAAGCUAAAGAAUGGUUCCAAUGAACUGUGGGAGAUGAGAAUAUGCCACCCCAAAAUAUGCCUCUUUUGCAUAAAGAUUGUUGAGCUGAAGGCAAUUAAGAAUAAGCAGCUGCAGGAAAGCUCUCUGCCCUCCCUCCAUUUGCCUAAAAGCAGGACACAGAUUUACAAAGACAAAAGGUAUCCUGUCCCUACUUCUAGCAAGAACACAGGAUAACCUCCAGACAACUUUAGAUCCUUAUUCCACCUGGAGACAGCACCGGAGGAAUCUGCAUUAACAAGCUUUCCUAACUAACCUUUAUCUGCCAUUCAUUUGCCUUUCCAGAAGUUGCUGCCCUGGAGACUCAGAGUCCUUUUUCUUUGUCUUCUCACAUCUCUAAAAAUUUACUGUUCUUUGUUAAAGAUGCUACAUAAGCAGACUUCAAAGACACCUCUUGAACUUCAAGGAUGCCUACUCAUUCUCUGGGUGUCUCCCAUGCAUGUAUGAAAUAUAUAUAUGUUAAUAAAUGCCUGAUUGGUUUUCUCUCAUUUAUCUGUCUUAUGUUACAGCGGGUCUUUUCCAUUUAUGAACUUGUGAGGGUUGAUGAAAAAAUUAGUUUUCUUUCCCAACAGGAUUCUUGGAAAAAUGAACUAUUAAACCCAGCAUGAGACCCAGAGGAGGUGGGGACCGCUGGGCAGGACCUCUUAAACUUCUUAGUAAAAUAUUCCUAGUGGAGAGUGAAAGGGUAUCUCCAGAGUCCUGGGGUACAGUCUGAAGCUGCCAGCUAUAAGCACAAAUUCCUUUUAACCUCGUGGACUACUGUAAAAAUUAUUAAGAAUUUUGCAUUCUCCUACAUAAUGUUUUUAUAUAAAUGUGCUGUUUUGAACCAGUUGCCAAUUAGUAAACUUGAUCACAGAGGAAAACGCAGCAUAUUCCUGUUAGCUUUAGGAACUCCAUGUCCUACCAUCCAGGGUAUGUGAUUUUGAGAAGCACAGCCCGUUAACAAUAAUGUUCAGAUGCACAGACC
ensembl:lncRNA